UUAAGUUCAGCGGGUAGUCCUACCUGAUUUGAGGUCAGAUUUCAAAAAUGCUUAUUGACCACCACCCUGAAGAAGAGGCGGUCCAAGCGGGGCACGGUCGCCGAUCUGUCUCGAUGGAGCGAGGAUGGUACAACGCCCAGUCGAGUUUGACCAGCAGGCCCAACCGACGCAUUUGAGGGGAGCCGGCCUUGCGGCGGCAA
rnacentral:misc_RNA from 1 species